UACGGGGGGGGCAAGCGUUGUUCGGAAUUACUGGGCGUAAAGGGCUCGUAGGCGGCCAACUAAGUCGGACGUGAAAUCCCCAGGCUCAACCUGGGAACUGCGUCCGAUACUGGAUGGCUUGAAUCCGGGAGAGGGAUGCAGAAUUCCAGGUGUAGCGGUGAAAUGCGUAGAUAUUCGCAAGAACACCAGUGGCGAAGGCGGCUUACUGGUCCGGUUCUGACGCUGAGGCGCGAAAGCGUGGGGAGCAAACAGG
rnacentral:rRNA from 1 species